UCGGAUUCGUUGCUUUAAUAUCUCUAUCUGUGCAGAACUACUUCUUUGGAAUUGCAGGGGCUAAAUUGAUUCAACGAAUUCGUUCCAUGACAUUUGAAAGAGUUGUACAUCAAGAAAUCAGCUGGUUUGAUGAUCCUGCAAAUUCCAGGUUUGUAUGCAUUAAAAGAAAUAAUCACAAUCAUAUUCUCCAAAUUCUGAGACGCUUAAUUUUGUAUCCCUUACCAUUUUCCAGUGGAGCAGUUGGGGCAAGAUUGUCAACCGAUGCUUCAACAGUUAGGAGUAUUGUUGGUGAUGCCUUGGCCCUAGUCGUCCAAAAUGUAACAACAAUCCUAGCAGCAUUGAUUAUAGCCUUCACAGCUAACUGGAUUC
rnacentral:lncRNA from 1 species